AUGAGCGACAGCGGCGAGCAGAACUACGGGAAUCCUGUUCUGCUUCCCGAAGUGGAAGUGCUCACGGAUCGGGGAAAUCUGCAAGACCUCGCUCCAAGGAAGAUUCAAGGCGUUCUAGGUCAAAGUCGAGAUCCAGAUCUGAAUCUAGGUCUAGAUCCAGAAGAAGUUCUAGAAGACAUUAUACAAGGUCACGAUCACGAUCUUGCUCGCAUAGAUGAUCCCAGAGCAGGUCUUACAGCCGAGAUUAUCGGAGGCGCCACAGCCACAGCCAUUCUCCCAUGUCUACUCGAAGGCGUCAUGUUGGGAACCGGGCAAAUCCUGACCCCAACUGUUGUCUUGAUGUGUUUGGGUUGAGCUUAUACACCACAGAAAGAGACCUAAGAGAAGUGUUCUCUAAAUAUGGCCCCAUUGCUGAUGUGUCUAUUGUAUAUGACCAGCAGUCUAGAUGUUCAAGAGGAUUUGCCUUUGUAUAUUUUGAAAAUGUAGACGAUGCCAAAGAAGCUAAAGAAUGUGCCAAUGGAAUGGAGCUUGAUGGGCAACGAAUUAGGGUUGAUUUCUCUAGUACAAAAAGACCCCAUACCCCAACACCAGGAAUUUAUAUGGGGAGACCCACUUAUGGCAGUUCACGCCGCCAAGACUAUUAUGACAGAGGAUAUGAUCAGGGAUAUGAUGACCGGGACUAUUACAGCAGAUCAUACAGAGGAGGAGGUGGUGGAGGAGGUGGAUGGAGAGCAGCUCAAGACAGGGAUCAGAUUUAAAGAAGAUGGUCACCUUCUCCUUACUACAGUCGUGGAGGAUACAGGUCAAGUUCU